rnacentral:rRNA from 1 species
ACGCUGGCGGCACGCCUAACACAUGCAAGUCGAACGAAGUAGCAAUACUUAGUGGCAGACGGGUGAGUAACAUGUAGGUAUCUGCCCUUUGGCCUGGAAUAACACGAGGAAACUUGUGCUAAUACCGGAUAAGUCUUUACAGAGAAAGCUUUAUGCACCAUUGGAUGAGCCUGCACUUGAUUAGUUUGUUGGUGGGGUAAUGGCCUACCAAGACUGUGAUCAAUAGCUGAUUUGAGAGGAUGAUCAGCCACAUUGGGACUGAGACACGGCCCAAACUCCUACGGGAGGCAGCAGUGGGGAAUCUUGCACAAUGGAGGAAACUCUGAUGCAGCGAUGCCGCGUGAGUGAAGAAGGCCUUUGGGUUGUAAAGCUCUUUCGUCGGGGAAGAAAAUGACUGUACCCGAAUAAGAAGGUCCGGCUAACUUCGUGCCAGCAGCCGCGGUAAUACGAAGGGACCUAGCGUAGUUCGGAAUUACUGGGCUUAAAGAGUUCGUAGGUGGUUGAAAAAGUUAGUGGUGAAAUCCCAGAGCUUAACUCUGGAACUGCCAUUAAAACUUUUCAGCUAGAGUAUGAUAGAGGAAAGCAGAAUUUCUAGUGUAGAGGUGAAAUUCGUAGAUAUUAGAAAGAAUACCAAUUGCGAAAGGCAGCUUUCUGGAUCAUUACUGACACUGAGGAACGAAAGCAUGGGUAGCGAAGAGGAUUAGAUACCCUCGUAGUCCAUGCCGUAAACGAUGUGUGUUAGACGUUGGAAAUUUAUUUUCAGUGUCGCAGGGAAACCGAUAAACACACCGCCUGGGGAGUACGACCGCAAGGUUAAAACUCAAAUGAAUUGACGGGGACCCGCACAAGUAGUGGAGCAUGUGGUUUAAUUCGAAGAUACGCGCAGAACCUUACCAACACUUGACAUGUUCGUCGCGACUCUAAGAGAUUAGAGUUUUCGGUUCGGCCGGACGAAACACAGGUGCUGCAUGGCUGUCGUCAGCUCGUGUCGUGAGAUGUUGGGUUAAGUCCCGCAACGAGCGCAACCCUCACUUUUAGUUGCCAUCAUUAGGUUGGGCACUCUGAAAGAACUGCCAGUGAUAAGCUGGAGGAAGGUGGGGAUGACGUCAAGUCCUCAUGGCCCUUACGUGUUGGGCUACACACGUGCUACAAUGGUAUCUACAACAGGAAGCAAGACUGCGAAGUUAAGCAAAUCCCUAAAAGAUACCUCAGUUCGGAUUGCACUCUGCAACUCGAGUGCAUGAAGCUGGAAUUACUAGUAAUCGUGGGUCAGCGUGCCACGGUGAAUGCGUUCCCGGGUCUUGUACACACCGCC